rfam:Hydrogenophaga sp. Root209 contig_2, whole genome shotgun sequence.
CGCGUUUUUCGCCCAGGCGGAGCUCGACCNCCGCCGUCUGAAGUCCUGAAGGGCUUCAUCGAUCAGCAUCGACAGGCCUACGGGGUCGAGUCGAUCUGCAAGGUGCUGCAGAUCGCCCCG